rnacentral:rRNA from 1 species
AGAGUUUGAUCAUGGCUCAGAUUGAACGCUGGCGGUAGGCUUAACACAUGCAAGUCGUGCGAGAAAGUACCUUCGGGUGCGAGUAGAGCGGCGGACGGGUGAGUAACGCGUAGGAAUCUACCUAGUAGAAGGGGAUAGCCCGGGGAAACUCGGAUUAAUACCGUAUACCUCCUUAGGGAGAAAGAGGGCUUAGCUUUGAUGCUCUCGCUAUUAGAUGAGCCUGCGUAAGAUUAGCUUGUUGGUGAGGUAAUGGCUCACCAAGGCGACGAUCUUUAGCUGGUCUGAGAGGACGAUCAGCCACAUUGGGACUGAGACACGGCCCAGACUCCUACGGGAGGCAGCAGUGGGGAAUAUUGGACAAUGGGCGCAAGCCUGAUCCAGCCAUACCGCGUGUGUGAAGAAGGCUUUCGGGUUGUAAAGCACUUUAAGUAAGGAGGAAAAGAUUGUAGUUAAUACCUGCAAUCCGUGACGUUACUUACAGAAUAAGGACCGGCUAAUUCCGUGCCAGCAGCCGCGGUAAUACGGAAGGUCCAAGCGUUAAUCGGAAUUACUGGGCGUAAAGCGCGCGUAGGUGGUUUUUUAAGUUGGAUGUGAAAGCCCUGGGCUCAACCUAGGAACUGCAUCCAAAACUAGAUGACUAGAGUACGAAAGAGGGAAGUAGAAUUCACAGUGUAGCGGUGGAAUGCGUAGAUAUUGUGAAGAAUACCAAUGGCGAAGGCAGCUUCCUGGUUCUGUACUGACACUGAGGUGCGAAAGCGUGGGUAGCGAACAGGAUUAGAUACCCUGGUAGUCCACGCCGUAAACGAUGACAACUAGCUGUUGGGAGACAAGAUCUCUCAGUGGCGCAGCUAACGCUUUAAGUUGUCCGCCUGGGGAGUACGGCCGCAAGGUUAAAACUCAAAU